rnacentral:rRNA from 1 species
GAUGAACGCUGGCGGCGUGCUUAACACAUGCAAGUCGAACGGAAAGGCCCAAGCUUGCUUGGGUACUCGAGUGGCGAACGGGUGAGUAACACGUGGGUGAUCUGCCCUGCACUUCGGGAUAAGCCUGGGAAACUGGGUCCAAUACUGGAUAGGACCACUUCUUGGAUGUUGUGGUGGAAAGUUUUUUCGGUGUGGGAUGAGCUCGCGGCCUAUCAGCUUGUUGGUGGGGUAAUGGCCUACCAAGGCGUCGACGGGUAGCCGGCCUGAGAGGGUGUACGGCCACAUUGGGACUGAGAUACGGCCCAGACGCCUACGGGAGGCAGCAGUGGGGAAUAUUGCACAAUGGGCGCAAGCCUGAUGCAGCGACGCCGCGUGGGGGAUGACGGCCUUCGGGUUGUAAACUCCUUUCGCUAGGGACGAAGCGUUUUGUGACGGUACCUGGAGAAGAAGCACCGGCUAACUACGUG